UAUAUAUGCAUAUAUUUUGUGUUAAAUGUAUAUUUUAUAUAUGAAUGUGUCUAUAUAACUGUAUAUGUACGGCUAUAUUUUAUAUUCUUUUCUUUUAUGUUCAAUUCAUAUUAUUGAUACCAGUAAUUAAUAUUAAAAACACGAGACAGAGACUAUAAAAGUAAGAAACUGCUGUUGUUUAAUAAAAAGAGACUUGAGAAGCUGCUGAACAGAGAAGCCACGUUUCCUCGUGUCUCAUCCUUUUCACCCUGUUUACAGAGCUGUAUUACCAAUCAAGCAUUUAUUGGAUCAGCUGGGAUUUCAGUUUUGGUAACCUGCAAGUGUGCAGGUCCAGAUCUACAGGCCCAGCUGCAACAUCUGUGUGCGAAUGCGCCACAGGAUGCCAUACAGAACCUGCAUGCCUCUAAGCUCAACUAUAUCUUCAAGCUAGAAACAGACCAACAGAGGAUACUGAACUUCACAACAAAACUCACUUACUGGACUUCCCUGACUCUGCUGAUUCCGUGGUGCUACGCUGUUCGCGCUCGCUGAGCUUCUGAUUGCUCACACCUGGACUGCCUUGUAUAAAUCCCCCCCCUCCCUGUUGUCUUUGUUACCUCAGUUUCUUUUUUAUUAAGUGUUUCUUUUAAAUGUUUUUCAUGUUUCUGACACCUUUUUGUAUUUUUUGACUACUCUUUUGCCUUGCCCUUCCUAUUGAUUGUUUGCUGUUUCCGAUCUUAUUUUUGUUUUUAGACUACUUUUACCUUGCUCUCUGCCUUUUGGAUUUAAUAAUUUGUUAAUAAAUUGUGCGUUUG